CCUACGGGUGGCUGCAGUGGGGAAUUUUGGACAAUGGGCGAAAGCCUGAUCCAGCAAUGCCGCGUGAGUGAAGAAGGCCUUCGGGUUGUAAAGCUCUUUUGUUUGGGAAGAAAUCCCUAAGGAUAAUACCCUUGGGGGAUGACGGUACCAAAAGAAUAAGCACCGGCUAACUACGUGCCAGCAGCCGCGGUAAUACGUAGGGUGCAAGCGUUAAGCGGAGUUUGCGGGGGUGGUGCGGUAAGAGGCGUGUGAAAUCCCCGAGCUCAACUUGGGAACUGCACUUGUGACUGCAAGACUAGAGUGUGGCAGAGGGGGGUAGAAUUCCACGUGUAGCAGUGAAAUGCGUAGAUAUGUGGAGGAAUACCAGUGGCGAAGGCGGCCUCCUGGGAUAACACUGACGCUCAUGUACGAAAGCGUGGGGAGCAAACAGGAUUAGAUACCCUAGUAGUC
rnacentral:rRNA from 1 species